AUGGAACCCAGGAGAGGAAAGAGCUUCCACGCUGAGUGGAAGGGAAUAGAGAUGGGGUUUAGGAGGGAAGACAGGCUUCCACAGGAGAGUGUGGUAGGGGACCCCAGAGGGGAAAUCCAGGAGAGGGAAAGACGCUUUCACGAGGUAGUGUUCCUGGAAGGGGACCCCAGAGGGAAAAUCCAGGAGAGAGAAAGAUGCUUCCACCAGGGAGUGUUCCUGGAAGGGGACCCGAGAGGGGAAAUCCAGGAGAGGGAAAGACGCUUCCACCAGGGAGUGUUCCUGGAAGGGGAUCACAGAGGGGAAAUCCAGGAGAGGGAAAGACGCUUCCACCAGGGAGUGUUCCUGGAAGGGGACCCCAGAGGGGAAAUCCAGGAGAGGGAAAGGCGCUUCCAUGAGACAGUGAGGAAGGGAAAGACGCUUCCACCAGGGAGUGUUCCUGGAAGGGGACCCCAGAGGGGAAAUCCAGGAGAGGGAAAGAUGCUUCCACCAGGGAGUGUUCCUGGAAGGGAUCCAAACAUGGAGUCAGAAGGGGUGUGGGAGUAGGGGGCUUCUGACCUGUCAGCAAAGUGAGAGAACCACGUACAUAAUGGAAGAAAAUAUCUACAGAUCCGACGUUUGAUAAACAUCUAGUAUCUAGAGUAUAGAAAGAACUUUUUUCUCCAACUGUUAUUUUAGAAUCAGGUGGUCUGUGUGCAGUUGUGUCACACGGGUGUAUUGUGUGAUGCUGAGCUUUGGAGUAGGAAUGAAUCCAUCACCACAACAGUGACGGUAGCACCCAGUAGUUUCUCAGCCCUCGCCCACUCCCUUUCUUCCUCCCUCCUCUGGUUCCCCAGUGUCUAUGGUUUCCAUCUUUCUGUCCAUGUGGACUCAAUGUUUAGCUCUCACUUAUAAGUGAGGAUAUGUGGUAUUUGGUUUUCUGCUUCUGCAUUAACUCUCUUAGAAUAAUUGUUUCUAGCUGCAUCCAUAUUGCUGCAAAAGAAAUGACUUCAUUCUUUUUAAUGGCCAUGUCGUAUUCCAUGGUGUAUAUGGACCAUAUUUUCUUUAUCCAAUCCACCACUGAUGGGCACCGGUUGAUUCCACGUCUUUGCUUCUGUGAAGAGCAUUGCAAUGAACAUAUGGAUGUAUGUGACGGAUGUAUGCGUCUUUUUGGUAGAAUGAUUUAUUUUCCUUUGGGCAUAUACUUAAUACUAAGAUUGCUGGGUCAAAUAGUAAUUCAACUCAUAGUUGUUUGAGAAAUCUCCAAAGUGCUCUCCAUGGUGGCCCAAUUCAUUUACAUUCCCAGUAACAGUGUACAAGUGUUCUCUUCUCUCUCAAGUUCUGCCAGCAUCUGUUUUCAGCUCUUUUUAUUUUAUUUUUAUUUUUUUAGUGUAGUAGCAGUCAUUUUUAAAAUUUUACUCUAGGUUCUGAGGUACAUGUGCAGUUCAGGCAAGAUUGUUGCAUAGGUGCAUACAUAACCAGGUGGUUUACUGCCUCUAUUCCCAGUUGGUCUAUAUCUGGCUUUUCUCCCUAUGUUAUCCCUCCCCACCCCCACUGUCCCUCCCCUAACCCCCCACCCCCAGUGUCUGAUGCUCCUCUCCCUGAGUGCAUGUGUUCUUAUUGUCCAGCACCCGCCUAUGAGUGAGAACAUGCAGUGUUUGUUUUUCUGUUCUUGUGUCAGUUUGCUGAGGAUGAUGGUUUCCAGGUUAAUCCAAGUCCCUGCAAAGGACACAAACUCAUCAUUUUUUAUGGCUGUGUAGUAUUCCAUGGUGUAUACAUGCCACAUUUUGCUUGUCCAGUCUAUCACUGAUUGGCAUUUGGGUUGGUUCCAGGUCUUUGCUAUUGUACACAGUGCUGCAGUGAACAUACAUGUGCAUGUGUCUUAUAACAGAAUGAUUUAUAGUCCUGUGGGUGUAUACCCAGUAAUGGGAUUGCUGGGUCAAAUGGAAGUUCUGUUUCUAGGUCCUUGAGAAGUCGCCACACCGUCUUCCACAAUGGUUGAGCUAAUUUACACUCCCACCAACCAUGUAAAAGUGUUCCUAUUUCUCCACAUCCUCUCCAGCAUCUAUUGUCUUCAGAUUAUUUAAUGAUUGCCAUUCUAACUGGUGUGAGAUGGUAUCUCAAUGUAGUUUUGAUUUGCAUUUCUCUAAUGACCAGUGACGAUGAGCAUUUUCUCGUAUGUUUGUUGGCCUCAUAUAUGUCUUCUUGUGAAAAGUGUCUGUUCAUAUCCUUUGCUCACUUUUGAAUGGGUUUGUUUGUUUGUUUCUUGUUAAUCUGUUUUAGUUCUUUGUAGAUUCUGGAUAUUAGCCUUUUGUC
rnacentral:lncRNA from 1 species